CAGCCGCCGCGGUAAUACAGAGGGUGCGAGCGUUAAUCGGAUUUACUGGGCGUAAAGCGUGCGUAGGCGGCUUCUUAAGUCGGAUGUGAAAUCCCUGAGCUUAACUUAGGAACUGCAUUCGAUACUGGGAAGCUAGAGUAUGGGAGAGGAUGGUAGAAUUCCAGGUGUAGCGGUGAAAUGCGUAGAGAUCUGGAGGAAUACCGAUGGCGAAGGCAGCCAUCUGGCCUAAUACUGACGCUGAGGUACGAAAGCAUGGGGAGCAAACAGGAUUAGAUACCCCGGUAGUCCCUGUCUCUUAUAC
rnacentral:rRNA from 1 species